AUUGAACGCUGGCGGCAUGCCUAACACAUGCAAGUCGAGCGGAUGAAGGGGGCUUGCUCCUGGAUUCAUCGGCGGCCGGGUGAGUAAUGCCUAGGAAUCUGCCUGGUCGUGGGGGAUAACGUCCUGAAACGGGCGCUAAUACCGCAUACGUCCUGAGGGAGAAAGUGGGGGAUCUUCGGACGUCACGCUAUCAUAUUAGCCUAGAUCGGAUUAACUGGGUGGUGGGUAAAGGCCUCCCAAGGCGACGAUCCGUAACUGGUCUGAGAGGAUGAUCAGUCACACUGGAACUGAGACACGGUCCAGACUCCUACGGGAGGAAGCAGUGGGGAAUAUUGGACAAUGGGCGAAAGCCUGAUCCAGCCAUGCCGCGUGUGUGAAGAAGGUCUUCUGAUUGGAAAGCAAUUUAAGUUGGGAGGAAGGGAAGUAAGUUAAUACCUUGCUGUUUUGACGUUACCAACAGAAUAAGCACCGGCUAACUUCGUG
rnacentral:rRNA from 1 species